rnacentral:rRNA from 3 species
UGAUUUACAUUUGAGUGAGUGGCGAACUGGUGAGUAACACGUGGGAAACCUGCCCAGAAGCGGGGGAUAACACCUGGAAACAGAUGCUAAUACCGCAUAACAACUUGGACCGCAUGGUCCGAGUUUGAAAGAUGGCUUCGGCUAUCACUUUUGGAUGGUCCCGCGGCGUAUUAGCUAGAUGGUGGGGUAACGGCUCACCAUGGCAAUGAUACGUAGCCGACCUGAGAGGGUAAUCGGCCACAUUGGGACUGAGACACGGCCCAAACUCCUACGGGAGGCAGCAGUAGGGAAUCUUCCACAAUGGACGAAAGUCUGAUGGAGCAACGCCGCGUGAGUGAAGAAGGGUUUCGGCUCGUAAAACUCUGUUGUUAAAGAAGAACAUAUCUGAGAGUAACUGUUCAGGUAUUGACGGUAUUUAACCAGAAAGCCACGGCUAACUACGUGCCAGCAGCCGCGGUAAUACGUAGGUGGCAAGCGUUGUCCGGAUUUAUUGGGCGUAAAGCGAGCGCAGGCGGUUUUUUAAGUCUGAUGUGAAAGCCUUCGGCUCAACCGAAGAAGUGCAUCGGAAACUGGGAAACUUGAGUGCAGAAGAGGACAGUGGAACUCCAUGUGUAGCGGUGAAAUGCGUAGAUAUAUGGAAGAACACCAGUGGCGAAGGCGGCUGUCUGGUCUGUAACUGACGCUGAGGCUCGAAAGUAUGGGUAGCAAACAGGAUUAGAUACCCUGGUAGUCCAUACCGUAAACGAUGAAUGCUAAGUGUUGGAGGGUUUCCGCCCUUCAGUGCUGCAGCUAACGCAUUAAGCAUUCCGCCUGGGGAGUACGGCCGCAAGGCUGAAACUCAAAGGAAUUGACGGGGGCCCGCACAAGCGGUGGAGCAUGUGGUUUAAUUCGAAGCUACGCGAAGAACCUUACCAGGUCUUGACAUACUAUGCAAAUCUAAGAGAUUAGACGUUCCCUUCGGGGACAUGGAUACAGGUGGUGCAUGGUUGUCGUCAGCUCGUGUCGUGAGAUGUUGGGUUAAGUCCCGCAACGAGCGCAACCCUUAUUAUCAGUUGCCAGCAUUAAGUUGGGCACUCUGGUGAGACUGCCGGUGACAAACCGGAGGAAGGUGGGGAUGACGUCAAAUCAUCAUGCCCCUUAUGACCUGGGCUACACACGUGCUACAAUGGAUGGUACAACGAGUUGCGAACUCGCGAGAGUAAGCUAAUCUCUUAAAGCCAUUCUCAGUUCGGAUUGUAGGCUGCAACUCGCCUACAUGAAGUCGGAAUCGCUAGUAAUCGCGGAUCAGCAUGCCGCGGUGAAUACGUUCCCGGGCCUUGUACACACCGCCCGUCACACCAUGAGAGUUUGU